GCUGGUGUAGCUCAGUUGGCAGAGCUGGGCCUUUGUAAUGCUCAUGUCGCAGGUUCGAGUCCUGUCGCCAGCUCCA
rnacentral:tRNA from 1 species